rnacentral:tRNA from 1 species
GCAUCGGUGGUUCAGUGGUAGAAUACUCGCCUGCCACGCGGGCGGCCCGGCCGCCCGAUUCGAUUCCCGGCCGAUGCA